rnacentral:rRNA from 1 species
GAUGAACGCUAGCGGCAGGCCUAAUACAUGCAAGUCGAACGGUCGUAGCAAUACGAUAGUGGCGCACGGGUGCGUAACACGUAUGCAACCUACCUUAUACUGAGGGAUAGCCUUUGGAAACGGAGAUUAAUACCUCAUGGGACAUUGAUUUGGCAUCGAGUUAAUGUUAAAGAUUAAUUGGUAUAAGAUGGGCAUGCGUCCAAUUAGGUAGUUGGUGAGGUAAUGGCUCACCAAGCCUAUGAUUGGUAGGGGAACUGAGAGGUCUAUCCCCCACACUGGCACUGAGAUACGGGCCAGACUCCUACGGGAGGCAGCAGUAGGGAAUAUUGGUCAAUGGAGGGAACUCUGAACCAGCCAUGCCGCGUGCAGGAAGAAGGCGUUCUGCGUUGUAAACUGCUUUUAUAGAUGAAGAAAUAGUUUUUGCGAAAACAGUUGACGGCAGUCUAUGAAUAAGCACCGGCUAACUCCGUGCCAGCAGCCGCAGUAAAAC